rnacentral:rRNA from 1 species
AGUGAACGCUGGCGGCAGGCCUAACACAUGCAAGUCGAGCGGCAGCGGGCUGUAGCAAUACAGUGCCGGCGAGCGGCGGACGGGUGAGGAAUACAUCGGAAUCUACCUUGUCGUGGGGGAUAACGUAGGGAAACUUACGCUAAUACCGCAUACGAACUACGGUUGAAAGCGGAGGACCGCAAGGCUUCGCGCGAUUGGAUGAGCCGAUGUCGGAUUAGCUAGUUGGCGGGGUAAUGGCCCACCAAGGCGACGAUCCGUAGCUGGUCUGAGAGGAUGAUCAGCCACACUGGAACUGAGACACGGUCCAGACUCCUACGGGAGGCAGCAGUGGGGAAUAUUGGACAAUGGGCGCAAGCCUGAUCCAGCCAUGCCGCGUGUGUGAAGAAGGCCUCGGUUGUAAGCACUUUGUUCGGUAGAAAGACACGUAUACCGGAGUCGAUGACGGUACCGAACGAAUAAGACACCGGCUAACUUACGUG